CAAUAGCGUAUAUUAAAGUUGUUGCAGUUAAAAAGCUCGUAGUUGGAUUUCUGGUGGGAGCGAUCGGUCUGGCGCUUAGCGCGAGUACUUGCAUCGUCUCCGGCCAUCCUUGGGGAGAGUCUGUCUGGCAUUAGGUUGUCGGGCAGAGGAUCCUCAUCGUUUACUGUGAAAAAAUUAGAGUGUUCAAAGCAGGCUUAUGCCGUCGAAUAUAUUAGCAUGGAAUAAUAAGAUAGGACUUUGGUACUAUUUUGUUGGUUUGCGCACCAAAGUAAUGAUUAAUAGGGACAGUUGGGGGUAUUCGUAUUCCGUUGUCAGAGGUGAAAUUCUUGGAUUUACGGAAGACGAACUACUGCGAAAGCAUUUACCAAGGAUGUUUUCAUUAA
rnacentral:rRNA from 1 species